AGAAGAAGGGAGAGGGAUAGAGAGAUAGAAACCUCAAUGAUGAGAGAGAAUCAUUGAUUGGCUGCCUCCUGCAUGACCCACACCAGGGGUCAAGACCACAACC